CUUGAAGUGAAUUAAAGGUCCUGCAUUUAUUUAAAUUCACCCUUUGCUGCAUUGCUAGCACCUCAUAACAGGGUUCCAAUUUAUAUACCGUAUUUUUGGCACUAUAGGGUGCACCGUAAUGUAAGGCGCACUAUCAAUGACCGUGUUUUUUUUUUUUUAGCCUAUUUACAUACAUAAGGAGACACUAUAAGGAACUUCUAAUUCAGCAGGUCUCGCUGCUGGGUGGUGGAGGGGGGAUAGCUAACUAAGUUAAGUUAAGCUAAGUAAACAAAGCUAUAAUAAUAAUUUAAAAAAAUCCAAUUAAAAGAGCUCUGGAUGUUAAUCUACAUAGAUUUCUCUCCUGAAAACUGUUUAUUUGGAUCAGCCUGCAACAAACUCGAGCUGCAGCUGAUCCGAAGUCACUAAAACGCUCUGAUGAUCUGAAAAACAUUUUGUACGAGCAAGGAACCGCGCUGGCUGAGAUGAAGACUCAGGUGAAGUUCAUAGAGAAGGAGAACGGAGACCUGAAAACCAAAAUGACCAGACAGAUCAAACGUUCCAGGCAAACUGAGAGUCAGCUGGAGAGCCUAAAGAAAGAAAUGGCAGCACAGUUGUCGGAGGUGUCUGUAAUAAGAAGCUCACUGGUGAAUGUUGAGGCUGAAAUGGGGAAACUGAAGAAGGAGAAUGAAGGUAAAACACUAAACUCCUCCAAAACUGCAGUAACAGAACACAGUCAGCGCUGAAUACAUCAGCCUGUCUCUAAAGUGUUUCAUUUCUAACAGAUCUGAAGAAGAAAGCGUCUACAGCUGAGGGUUAUCUGAAGACUCUAAAGAAGGAAAUCACAGGUAAACUAGGGGUUUUCAGGUUUUUUUUAAAGCCAUUAUA
rnacentral:lncRNA from 1 species